rnacentral:rRNA from 1 species
UUGAAUUUCGGGACCAUCAUGUUGGUCGUGCCUCGGUACGUACUGGCAUUGUUGGGUUUCUCCCUUCUGACGAACCAUGAUGUCAUUUAUUUGGUGUUGGUGGGGAAUCAGGACUGUUACUUAGAAAAAAUUAGAUUGUUUAAAGCAGGCUCCACGCUUGAAUACAUUAGCAUGGAAUAAUGAAAUAGGACGUUUGAUUCUAUUUUGUUGGUUUCUAGGAUCGACGUAAUGAUUAAUAGGGAUAGUUGGGGGCAUUAGUAUUCAAUUGUCAGAGGUGAAAUUCUUGGAUUUAUUGAAGACUAACUACUGCGAAAGCAUUUGCCAAGGAUGUUUUCAUUAAUCAAGAACGAAAGUUAGGGGAUCGAAGACGAUCAGAUACCGUCGUAGUCUUAACCAUAAACUAUGCCGACUAGGGAUCGGAUGAUGUUAAUUUUUAAUGACUC